UACGGAGGGUGCGAGCGUUAAUCGGAAUUACUGGGCGUAAAGCGCGCGUAGGCGGCUUGAUAAGCCGGUUGUGAAAGCCCCGGGCUCAACCUGGGAACGGCAUCCGGAACUGUCAGGCUAGAGUGCAGGAGAGGAAGGUAGAAUUCCCGGUGUAGCGGUGAAAUGCGCAGAUAUCAGGAGGAACACCGAUGGCGAAGGCAGGUCUCUGGGCUGUUACUGACGCUGAGGGACGAAAGCGUAGGUAGCGAACAGG
rnacentral:misc_RNA from 1 species